rnacentral:misc_RNA from 1 species
ACAAACUUGGUCAUUUAGAGGAAGUAAAAGUCGUAACAAGGUAACCGUAGGUGAACCUGCGGUUGGAUCAUUAAUAAACUAAUAGGCCUUAAGGUCUUAUCCAACACAUCGUGAACUGUUAUGUCUCUUGCGUGCUUCGGUACGCAAAAUACUAUAUAAACUAUGUAUAAAUAUCUGUCUAAUACUAUGCUUUAAUUAGCAAUUGUUUAAUUAAAAACAACUUUUGACAACGGAUCUCUAGGCUCUCACAUCGAUGAAGAACGCAGC